rnacentral:lncRNA from 1 species
AUUAGUGCAGAUGCAACAGUGGCAGAGAAGAAAGGUUCCAUGACCAUUUAUUAAUUUAUAAGUUUUGUUAUUCUUGUCUUACCUUUUAUCUACAUUAUCUUCUUUAUUCUUAUCUUAGCCAGUAUCUUUCAUUUUAGUGUUUCAAAUCCAUCUUCAGCUUCUUUUUUCAUAGAUUGCUAUCCCUUCCUUUCUCUGCUCUCCUGCAUCCCUCAAGCUGUUCAUUCUUCAGAUUUUUCAAUACUGCUGCAACUAUAUCCCCAUACAUAAAAUUUCCUGCAAAAUUAGACCCACAAUUAUUACAGCUUCACAUUUUCCUUGAUAUGCUUAAUGGCUUUAAAAACAUCAGAGGCAGCAAAAAUAAAGAUAACAUUUCAUGCUCGAUCUACAUUUGUUAUUUACAUUCAUCACUUUAGGAGGAAUGUAAGCAAAAUAGGUUGUGUUGUUUUAUGAUUGCAUUAGUUUGUUUUUAUAAUGCUCCACAAAGAAGUAUAGUUUUUUUUCUGAGUCUACAGUGGAAAACCUGGAAUGUAAGUCUGAAUUGUGUGUUACAGCUUUAAAUUUUACAAAAAGCUUUACUUUGCCAAGCCAUGUGUGGAGCAGCGAUUGGAGUGAACAACAGGGACUUUUGUGGAAAGAAUACAGCGAAAAUGAUGCUCUAAUGCAGAUCAGUGGUACGAAAUCAACAAAGAAGAAAGAAGAUACAUCAUGGUUAAAUCAGAUUACAGGUGAGUUAUUCCUUAUCCAAAAUGCUUGGAACAAGAUGUAUUCUGGAACUUUCCCCCCAGAUUUUGUACAUACAAAAUGAGCUAUCUUAGCAAUAGGACCCAAAGCUAAAUAUGAAAUUCAUUUAUGCUUCAUAUGCAUCUUAUAUACAUAGCUGAAAGAUAAUUUCAUGCACAAUGAUUUCAAUAUGUUUGUGCAUAAAGCAAAGUCUGUGUAUUGAAGAAUGAGAAAGCAAAAACAUCACUGUCUCAGCCAUCAACAUUGACAAUUUUGGAUUUUGGAGUAUUUUAGAUUUCAGAAUUCUGAAUAAGGCAUGUUUAACCUAUACAAAUAAAAUUAAAACAUUUUUCUCCAUUUACUUUCUAGGUAAACAUAUAGGUGAAAUCUAUUGGUAGUUAAAGAUUUUCCACAUAAUUCUAUGUGAUGCCCAUUUAUGUUUAAUUUCUUUUUCAGAUUUCCUUUUUGUAUAUCCGCUGAGAACACUGAAUUGAGAGCAUUCAAAUGUUUAUGGGCCAAUGUUUCCCCUUGAUAUACAUUACUGUAUUUCCUUGGAUUU